rnacentral:tRNA from 1 species
GGGGAUGUGGCUCAAGCGGUAGCGCGCUCACUUGGCGUGCGUGCAUCCUGGGUUCGAUCCUCAGCACCACA